CAUACAAAGUAAGGUAUGUGCUUUAAAAGUAGGAACUGAAAAAGAAUUCUGUAAGAGAGGUUGGGUUGGUUGGCUGUUCUUCUGGUUUGUAUGUUUGUUAAAUAUAGACUGUGUUUGUAUAGAACACUGAAAGGCAGAGAUACAGGCUACAACUGGAUGUGGUAGGGGUGAAGAUAGAGCCACUGAGCAAUGUCAUAGAAAGCCUAUUUGUUUUCUGGCAGAACUGGUGCUGAAAUUGAGCACGUACCUGCAGCUGCCAGAGUCAGCACAGCAAAGAGGACUCCAAGCAUCUUGCCAGGUAACUGCAUGCUGCAGGCUCUGCUUUGCAGCUUGUUUUAUAUCUCACCUCUGGGGGACGUGACUGCUGUGAUACCAAUGGAAAACUGUGGGAUAAUUUUUUAUAUGCACAAAUGCUUAAGGGAAAGAAAAAAACCAUAUAGAUGGACCUUGAAUCUGGGCUAAAUAUACAACUUCGGCUAAAAAUGAUUUCGAUUGAGUUGCAUGUAAUCUGUAGCAGUUGUUUGUUUUCCCAUUGCCUUGAAAGUUCAUCAGGAAGGUGUUUCCUGAAAGGAAACAUUAAUGAGUUAUGCUAACACUUGAUAGCGUGUGAGCAGCAACGCUAUCUGACAUAUUCAGAUAGUGAUAGAUUUGAACACAUCAGUGGGAUUGGAGUCAUCUCCAGACAUCUCUUCCGGCUUUAGUUGUUACCAAGUUGUGUGCGUUUCAGCAUGCCAUCCUUCCUCACUAAAACCAGCUGUGAUCACUCGGGAGUAGACGUUACAAGGAAUACAGAGAACAAGCUGACCGUGAUGAUGGAGGAACACUGGUGCAGCAGGGUCUAGUCUGAAUAGGCUGAAGUAUCUUUCUUGGACACAGUGGACAUCAUAUGUUGGCAGCUCUGCUGUCUUAUAUCUAAAUCCUCAUCCUGAUACCAUGGUGGCUUGGAAACAGCUCCCAAGAAACUCUUAUCUUUGUGCCGGAUGUUUCACAGAACUUAAGCAGCUCCCAGGGCUUCAGUAAGAAAGAGCACAGGUACUUCCAGUGUGUUGUUAAAGCAUAAUAGCUAAUAAUUCUGUCCAUGCACUUGAUGUACAAUCUAUUAGGUAGUCCAUGGGCUCACCAUGUAUUCCUUUGGAGGGCAGUAAACAUGCUAUAGACUAAUUAGUAAGUGAAGCAGCCUGCAGGCAAGUAACAGACAGGGAAAUCUAUUUCUCUGCGGGAGGUUUUUCCAUCCCAAACUGGACAAUAACCUACUAAAAAAUUUGAAGUCAAAUCCUGCCCCAGCUUUCCACUGGGAAAAAUGUGCCAGUUCAUUACUUCCUGUACGAUCGUUAAAUUCGUUGCUUGAUUGUUCCCUUUAUGAUCCACUUAUUUGUCUUCUUCAAACUUAAGCUUGGUCUGCACGCUUCCAGAUAAAACAAUGUUACCUAGAGCCAGGGAAUGAAGAUCAGCACUGUCCUGUGUUUCUGUUGUUGUGCUUUCCAGCUUCUGCCUUCAAAAUUGACUGUUUCCUGCUUGGACACAUUC